rnacentral:rRNA from 1 species
GAUGAACGCUGGCGGCGUGCCUAAUACAUGCAAGUCGAGCGAACGGACGAGAAGCUUGCUUCUCUGAUGUUAGCGGCGGACGGGUGAGUAACACGUGGAUAACCUACCUAUAAGACUGGGAUAACUUCGGGAAACCGGAGCUAAUACCGGAUAAUAUUUUGAACCGCAUGGUUCAAAAGUGAAAGACGGUCUUGCUGUCACUUAUAGAUGGAUCCGCGCUGCAUUAGCUAGUUGGUAAGGUAACGGCUUACCAAGGCAACGAUGCAUAGCCGACCUGAGAGGGUGAUCGGCCACACUGGAACUGAGACACGGUCCAGACUCCUACGGGAGGCAGCAGUAGGGAAUCUUCCGCAAUGGGCGAAAGCCUGACGGAGCAACGCCGCGUGAGUGAUGAAGGUCUUCGGAUCGUAAAACUCUGUUAUUAGGGAAGAACAUAUGUGUAAGUAACUGUGCACAUCUUGACGGUACCUAAUCAGAAAGCCACGGCUAACCACGUGCCAGCAGCCGCGGUAAUACGUAGGUGGCAAGCGUUAUCCGGAAUUAUUGGGCGUAAAGCGCGCGUAGGCGGUUUUUUAAGUCUGAUGUGAAAGCCCACGGCUCAACCGUGGAGGGUCAUUGGAAACUGGAAAACUUGAGUGCAGAAGAGGAAAGUGGAAUUCCAUGUGUAGCGGUGAAAUGCGCAGAGAUAUGGAGGAACACCAGUGGCGAAGGCGACUUUCUGGUCUGUAACUGACGCUGAUGUGCGAAAGCGUGGGGAUCAAACAGGAUUAGAUAUCCUGGUAGUCCACGCCGUAAACGAUGAGUGCUAAGUGUUAGGGGGUUUCCGCCCCUUAGUGCUGCAGCUAACGCAUUAAGCACUCCGCCUGGGGAGUACGACCGCAAGGUUGAAACUCAAAGGAAUUGACGGGGACCCGCACAAGCGGUGGAGCAUGUGGUUUAAUUCGAAGCAACGCGAAGAACCUUACCAAAUCUUGACAUCCUUUGACAACUCUAGAGAUAGAGCUUUCCCCUUCGGGGGACAAAGUGACAGGUGGUGCAUGGUUGUCGUCAGCUCGUGUCGUGAGAUGUUGGGUUAAGUCCCGCAACGAGCGCAACCCUUAAGCUUAGUUGCCAUCAUUAAGUUGGGCACUCUAAGUUGACUGCCGGUGACAAACCGGAGGAAGGUGGGGAUGACGUCAAAUCAUCAUGCCCCUUAUGAUUUGGGCUACACACGUGCUACAAUGGACAAUACAAAGGGCAGCGAAACCGCGAGGUCAAGCAAAUCCCAUAAAGUUGUUCUCAGUUCGGAUUGUAGUCUGCAACUCGACUACAUGAAGCUGGAAUCGCUAGUAAUCGUAGGUCAGCAUGCUACGGUGAAUACGUUCCCGGGUCU